rnacentral:rRNA from 1 species
CAGUCGCCGCGGGAAUACGUAGGGUCCGAGCGUUGUCCGGAAUUAUUGGGCGUAAAGGGCUCGUAGGCGGUUUGUUGCGUCGGGAGUGAAAACCUAGGGCUUAACUUUGGGCUUGCUUUCGAUACGGGCAGACUUGAGGCAUUGAGGGGAGAACGGAAUUCCUGGUGUAGCGGUGAAAUGCGCAGAUAUCAGGAGGAACACCGGUGGCGAAGGCGGUUCUCUGGCAAUGUUCUGACGCUGAGGAGCGAAAGUGUGGGGAGCGAACAGGAUUAGAUACCCGUGUAGUCCCUGUCUCUUAUAC